UACGAAGGGGGGCUAGCGUUGCUCGGAUUUACUGGGCGUAAAGGGCGCGUAGGCGGACAGUUAAGUCGGGGGUGAAAGCCCGGGGCUCAACCUCGGAAUUGCCUUCGAUACUGGCUGUCUUGAGUGUGAGAGAGGUGUGUGGAACUCCGAGUGUAGAGGUGAAAUUCGUAGAUAUUCGGAAGAACACCAGUGGCGAAGGCGACACACUGGCUCACUACUGACGCUGAGGCGCGAAAGCGUGGGGAGCAAACAGG
rnacentral:rRNA from 1 species